AAAAAGAACGUUUGUCUGGAUUUGGUUUGAAGCAUUAAUGCAGAGACUGCCAAGCAGGAAGUGCACUUCACGCUCCCGCUCAAGGUUCUGUCAGAGUUCUUUCGCUUAACCAGCAAAAACCUCAAAAUCGAGUUUUUCAAAGAACUGGACAAAUACACUCCUCGCUGUCUUGACAUUUUCAAGUCCAAGGGUGGAUGUACCGGCCAGAUACUUAAGGCGUAUUUGCAUCAUCAAAUCGCACUGGGGAAUACAGAUGUUACUGCUAAGUGAACAGCAGUCCUCCGUGGCCUUCCCAUCCUCCUUGGAGAUGAGAACAAAGACUUCUUCAAGACAUACUUUGACUGUGAUGAACCGGAACUGGCCAACACCUCCAUUGAGAUCCUAACAGUAAUCCCUGAAGGUAUCCCACCUCAAGGAACACACCAACAUUUUGGGUUUUUAGCUUAUUCACUGUAUUCCCCAGAGUUAGAUAA